UAAGGAAUAUUGGUCAAUGGACGCAAGUCUGAACCAGCCAUGCCGCGUGAAGGAUGAAGGUCCUCUGGAUUGUAAACUUCUUUUAUCUGGGACGAAAACGGGAUUUUUAUCUCAAUUGACGGUACCAGGUAAAGAAGCACCGGCUAACUCCGUGCCAGCAGCUGCGGUAAUACGGAGGGUGCAAGCAUUAAUCGGAUUUAUUGGGCGUAAAGGGCGCGUAGGCGGGAAUAUAAGUCAGACGUGAAAUCCCGAGGCUCAACCUCGGAACUGCAUUUGAAACUAGAUUUCUUGAGGGUAGGAAGAGACAACGGAAUUCCACAAGUAGCGGUGAAAUGCGUAGAUAUGUGGAAGAACACCGGUGGCGAAGGCGGUUUUCUAUCUUAUUCCUGACGCUGAUGCGCGAAAGCAAGGGGAUCAAACA
rnacentral:rRNA from 1 species